AAAUUGAAGAGUUUGAUCAUGGCUCAGAUUGAACGCUGGCGGCAGGCCUAACACAUGCAAGUCGAACGGUAACAGGAAACAGCUUGCUGUUUCGCUGACGAGUGGCGGACGGGUGAGUAAUGUCUGGGAAACUGCCUGAUGGAGGGGGAUAACUACUGGAAACGGUAGCUAAUACCGCAUAAUGUCGCAAGACUAAAGAGGGGGACCUUCGGGCCUCUUGCCAUCGGAUGUGCCCAGAUGGGAUUAGCUAGUAGGUGGGGUAACGGCUCACCUAGGCGACGAUCCCUAGCUGGUCUGAGAGGAUGACCAGCCACACUGGAACUGAGACACGGUCCAGACUCCUACGGGAGGCAGCAGUGGGGAAUAUUGCACAAUGGGCGCAAGCCUGAUGCAGCCAUGCCGCGUGUAUGAAGAAGGCCUUCGGGUUGUAAAGUACUUUCAGCGGGGAGGAAGGGAGUAAAGUUAAUACCUUUACUCAUUGACGUUACCCGCAGAAGAAGCACCGGCUAACUCCGUGCCAGCAGCCGCGGUAAUACGGAGGGUGCAAGCGUUAAUCG
rnacentral:rRNA from 1 species